UGUGUAGGCGGCCUUCUAAGUUUGGUGUGAAAUCUCCCGGCUCAACCGGGAGGGUGCGCCGAAGACUGGGGGGCUAGAGUGCGGGAUGGGAGAGUAGAAUUCCUGGUGUAGCGGUGAAAUGCGUAGAUAUCAGGAGGAAUACCUGUGGUGUAGACGGCUCUCUGGACCGCAACCGACGCUGAGACACGAAAGCGUGGGUAAGCAAACA
rnacentral:rRNA from 1 species